GCCGCCCUCUGCGCCCCGCCCCCUUCCGGCGAGGGGCGGAGCCGGUGCUGCCCGAGCGCGGCCCCUCCCCCCCCAACAUGGAGGGCUGGCGAGGAGCCUGGUAUGUGCCAUGUCUAGCUUCACUUGAGACCCUCCAAGAAUUAUGUAGGAAGGAAAAUCUCACAUGUAAAUCCAUUGGAAUCACCAACAGGAGUCUAAAGAGUUAUGAGGUGGAAUAUUUGUGUGACUACAAGGUAGAAGAGGGCAAAGCAUACUAUCUUGUGAAAUGGAAAGGAUGGCCAGAGUCUUCAAAUACCUGGGAACCUCAGAAACAUCUGAACUGCCCUCUUCUUAUUCAGAACUUUCUUAGAGACAAGAAUGAAUACUUGUCUCGGGGGAGAGGAGGCAAAGCAAUGAAACUGAGAAACCACGUUAAAACUUUGAAACCUGCAAUUGCAGAUUAUAUUGUAAAGAAGGCUAAACAAAGAAUAGCUCUGCAGAGGUGGAAAGAAGAACUCAACAGGAAGAAGAAUCACAAAGCAAUGAUUCUGGUAGAAAACACCGUGGAUCUUGAAGGCCCUCCUUUAGACUUCUACUACAUCAAUGAGUAUAAACCUGCUCCAGGAAUAAAUGUGCUCAAUGGAAUAACAACUGGCUGUGAAUGUGCUGACUGCCCUGCUGAGAAGUGCUGUCCAAAGGAGGCUGGGUUUAUUUUGGCUUACAAUAAACGUAAGAAAUUGAAAAUCCAGCCUGGCUUGCCCAUCUAUGAGUGCAAUUCAUAUUGUAGGUGUGGGCCUGACUGCCCCAACAGGAUUGUGCAGAAAGGGACCCCAUAUUCCCUCUGCAUCUUCAGAACCAACAACGGCCGUGGCUGGGGAGUAAAAACCCUCCAGAAAAUUAAAACCAACAGUUUUGUGAUGGAGUAUGUUGGAGAGGUGAUUACAAGUGAGGAAGCAGAGAGGCGAGGCCAGUUCUAUGACAACCAGGGAAAUACAUACUUGUUUGAUUUGGACUAUGACUCAGAUGAAUUUACAGUAGAUGCAGCUCGAUAUGGAAAUGUGUCCCACUUUGUGAACCACAGUUGUGAUCCAAAUCUUCAAGUCUUCAAUGUGUUCAUUGAUAACCUCGACUUGCGUCUUCCUCGAAUAGCGCUGUUCUCUACCCGAACCAUCAAGGCUGGAGAAGAGCUAACCUUUGACUAUCAGAUGAAAGUGAGGAGGUACUCAAAAAAAUGUAAGAAAAAAAAUCUGAUAGGAAGCAUAGACAGAUGAACUGGUCAAAGAGGUAUUCCACGCCAGAGAAUGUCAUGCCCAGUGUAAAAACUGGGGAGAUAUCCAGAAAGGGCUGAUCAGAGUUCAGGGAUGGCCUCUGAGCAUCAAUAAGCCAAAGGUUCAAUAGAUCUGACUUCAGACUCUGCUGAAGGUCUUAGCCCAUCCAAAAAGAGCAUCAGAACUGUCUGUAAAUGUGGAGCCAUGUGUUGCAGAGGUUAUCUCAACUGAGUUUGGGUAUCCAAAGUCACAAAUAUUUUGUUCUUUUUUUAAUGUGCUUUUAAGAAGACUCUUCUUUCACACAUAUAUUCAUGUAUUCUUACAUCUAAUCUAAAUAAGGAUGAUGAAACAAGGUAUUGUGUUGGUAAUUGAAAUGGCAUUGGCCAAAGAAAGAAAUUGUAUUGUUUCAAGCCAAUACAGAACUGCUAAUGGGGAUUAGAGAUUAAUUUUUCUGGAGCAAUUGUUUAGGAAGCCGUAAAAUGUCUGCAAAGAAAACUAAAAUGUACCUUGAUUUCCAUAUUCCUAGAAUCAUGGAAUAAGCUGGAUUGGAAGGGACCCUCAAAGGUCAUUGUGUCCAACUCCUAGUCCUGCACAGGACAUCCCCAAGAGUCACCCCUUGUGCCUGAGGGCAGUGUCCAAACACUUCUUGAACUCUGUCAGGCUCGGUGGUGUGACCACUGCCCUGGGGAGCCUCUUCCAGUGCCCAACCACCUUCUGCCUGAAGAACCUUUUCCUAAUAUCCAAUCCAAUCCUCCUGUGACUGAGCUUCAAGUUACGUGUUUUCUAUACCUUGAGAAGUCAGGAGGCAUUUGAUUUGAAUUCUAAAUCUUAGUUGAACAGUUUUUUUUCUUUUUUUUUUGUUAUAUAAAGAAAAGCUUGAAGAUCUUAGCAAUAACAUUUGUGGCACCAUGGUGAGGGAUUAAGGAGAGCCAGUGUGUAAAUAAAGGUUCACAGGAGUGCAAAUUGUAAAAUGUCCACGGAAUUCCAUGCAAAGGAAGUAAUUGCAGAAAAAAAAUUAGAGAGGCCAAAGCUGAAUUAAAAUUUAACCUGGCCACUUCUUUAAAGGAUAAUAAAAAAUAUUUUUAUAAAUAUGUUAAUAGCAAAAGGAGGGGCAAGGAAAACCUCCAUUCUUUGUUGGACAUAGUGAGAGAAUAUGGUCACCAAAGAUGAGGACAAGGCUGAGGUACUUAACACCUUUUUUGCCUCAGUUUUCAACAUUAAGACAGUCGUUCUGUCCUCAGGACAACUGGCCUCCUGAGCUGGAGUCCCCCUGUAAUCCAGGAGGAAGCAGUUAGAGGCUUGCUGAAUCACUUAGACGCUCAUGAGUCCAUGGGAUCCAUGCUAGGGUGAUGAGAGAGCUGGCAGAUGAGCUCACCAAACCACUCCAUCAUGUACCUGGAGAAAAGGAGGCUCAGGGCUGACUUUAUCUCUCUCUACAACUCCCUGACAGGAAGGUGUAGCUGGGUGAGGGUCAGCUCCCAGGGAUCCAGCAACAGGACAAGGAGAGAGACAUAGUCUCAAUGUGUGCUGGGGGGUGUGGUUAGGUUGGACAUGAGGAAAAAUUUCUUCAGAGAAGGGCUGAUUGGACACUGGAAUGGGCUGCUCAGAGAGGAGCAUCCUGAAGGUGUUUAAAAAAAGAGUGGACGUGACAUUCAGUGCCAUGGUCUGGUUGACAAGAUGGUGUUUGGUCAUAGGUUGGACUCGAUGAUCGCAAAAGCCUUUUCCAGCCUAAUUGAUUCUGUGAUUCUGUAAUUAGUAUUAACAGAUCCCAAGUGUAAAACUUGAACUUCUUAGCUAAUGUUAUGUAGAAUAUUUUCAGUUAUGCUCUGAUUUUUAGUUAGGAUUCUAUAGGAGGACUGCAGUUCCACAGAGCAUUUGUAAAUAUGGAAUUGUCAGAAGUAACAUUUGCCGUUUGUUUUCAUUACAGAAAUUUGGCAGUUGUGGCUGAAACAAGUUGCUGGCUGCAGUUUGGAAAUAGAUAGCAAAAGGUUAAGGAGGGCAGCCCAUUGUCGAACAAAGCCAGUGCAUUGUGGAGAUAUGCUCUGUUAUCUGUUAGGUGCAAAAGAGCCCUGGGAUUGAUGUAUAUUCACAACUGGUUUUGGUUAAAUUUUUAUGUACCAUGUCUUUUUUACCUAGCGACAGACUUCUAAGAUACUAGGCCUGUAUUUUCUGGUUGCAAAAAUGUUAACUUCAGUGAAGUUAGACUAGGGGUGAGUAUACCCAUUUGCUGUACACAUUUGUAAGAUGUUCUUGAAUGUAAAGGCUGAAAAAUGUGGUGUUCUUCAGCUGCUUGAGCCAUCUUUUUUUUUUCCCUGAUCAUCUUAAAGUUGUCUCAAUCUAUUCAUAACAUAUGCUAAGUUUUGCUUGGCUUCAGAACCACUGAAGAGCAGUUGAGGUGGGUGAUGAGUGGAGUUACAGCCAAGGUCCAUGCUCUAGGGAUGAUCCACAUGCUUUUUUCUCAUGGACUGAGCUUGUAAAACUUGCAUAUUGCUUACCAGUCAUGUAAAUGUUGACAGGGUCAGGCAGAAUAAUGUUGCUCCAUAAAUGGAUGCUCCAUAGCUGGAUGCUGGCUAUGUAUCAUAGGUCAGCUAGUUACCUUUAUAAGGUGCACAGCUGUUGGCUCAGGUGAAUGAAGUCAAGUACCUAGCAUGUAACUGUUUACUUAAUUUGUUAGAAAAUGCCUUAAAUUCCAUGUUGAUUAUUAGCACUUCAAAAAGAGCAUUUCAAGGUUGUUUCUUAAGAAGCACAGUUGCAUUUGUACUGAAGAUCUGGCUCUUUGGUAGCAAAUGACAUUUUAUAUGCUACUAGCCAAAACCAGUUUUACACUUUUGGUGAAGAGCAUGGGCUGCUGGAAAUGCUGUGUGAGUUUUGUAAUCUACAAUGCAGAGAUACACAUUGAAAUAGAGACUUUAUAUUGCUUAAUGAAUAGGAGGAAGUUUGCUUAGAUUUAAAAGUAUUUGAUGUGAUCAGGCUCACCUGUAUCCACAGUAAAUGCUGAAUCUUGUCAGUUUUUAUCAUGCCAAUCUCUAAUGAUUUUUUCUUUUAAUUUAAAGUUUUAAGUGGAAUGUGGAGCUUAAUGUCAACAAACUCUAGAUGAUCUUGCAUCGUUUGGAGUCAUUAUUGCUUUCCCUUGCAUGUAGCUCAGAUGAGCAGUGCAUUCCAUGUGGAUGGAAUCUGCAGUCUCUGGCUCCCUGAUCCGCCGCAGCCUGCGCUGUCCCUGCAGGAGGGAGCAGCUGCAGCAAGAGAUGGAUUCCUUCCUGCAGCCUGUGCCACGGGCACGGGGCAGGCCCCAGGCUCUGUCUCUCCCCAUGCCCAGUUUGAUUUAAAUAUUGCAAAUAGAUUCAUUUUAGAAGGUAACAGUUGUGGCAGUUGUACUGGAGUGUGGUGUCUGCCUUUUCCAGAGGCAGAGAAUGUGAUCACCAGCACUGGACUAACGCUGUUGUUUGUUAAGGAUAUGUGUGUUAUCUUCUGCCAUAAAUAAAGAACUGUUAAUUUAUGUUCUGUGAGGUAGCAGUAUUUUGUAUUUAUUUGAAGGAAACCCACAGAUCUACUUUCCAACAUAAGAGCCUUGAACAGUAUUUUAUAUUUACAUAUUCACAGUGUGUUUGGAUUGCAGUCAGUGAAUUAGCUUAAUGGGACACUGUGUCACUUUUAAAAUGCCUUUUACUGGUUUUUUGAGUUUGGCAGAAAAUUGCCGAACUGGAAAUGGAGAAAGAGGUGUUUUCAAUUUCUUAGGGAAGCUAAACCAGCCCAGCUUCUGCCUUUGUUUUGCUUUGUGGUCCGUUGGCUUUGUCAUGGUCACCAAUUCAGUCCUGUGUAUGCACUUCUUGGGGGCUGGUAACCUGUGGCCUGCCCUCCAGCUGCUCUUUUUUUGUUGGUUCUAUUUUCUGUAGCAAAACUAAAGCUGCAAGAUCACCUGUAAGAAGAGCUAUUGUUUAUUUAUUUAAUCUCCAAGUUAAGUCAAUCUUUUGGUUAUUAUUAAUGUAUGUUUUAGGAACUGUAUUAGAAUAUGCAGUUUGUAAGCUCAGGAACAUUUUCUUUUCAUACUGUGUCAUCUCUAGUAUUGCUGUCUUCCUAUAGUUUUUGAUAAAAUAAAUUAAAUUUAGUUUUU